GGCUGGCUCCGUGCUGUGCGGCGGGCACGGGGCGCAGCGCCGGUCUCGGGUGGUUGCAGAGGGCUGUGGCUCGCUGAUGCUGCCUUGCAGCAGCUCCACGUCAAUCCCACGUCAAUCUCGGCGCUCGAUGCUUUAAGCAACAAAGGCAAUUAGGAGAUGAGUUGGUUUCUGGCUUUGGGAAUCUUCAGGCUCGGCUCUGUGCUGUUACCUUGCAAGCAGGAAGAUGUCACAUGAAUUGUGACAGAAGUAUCUCUCACUGUUCUUAGUGGUGAGGAAAUCAUCCAGAGCUGUCUCCUGAAAUCGAGGUUAUCAGAUGACUUUCUCCGCUGACUUCAAGCUGUGUAUAGCCAACAGCAGACUGUUGAUUUCCAGAAGUAUGGGUGUUUAAGAAGGUUGAGAACAGUGUGAAAAGUGGAUUUCUAAUGCACUUGGAAAUGCUUUGCUGGCCCUUCUUGCUUCUCAGAAGCACUGCUUGAUUUGACUGUGCUCUGGGUGAAGUCCUGUGACUUGUAAUACCAUGCUGAAAGGAAGAAGUUGAGUAAGAUGGAGUUAGAGUUUAGAUGAAAAUGUGAAUAAUGCCUGAAUGAAGUUCAAGUGAGAGUGGAGUGAGAAGUAGCCCUUCAGACAAUGUUAGAACUCGGUAUGAAUAUUCAAGUGCAGUCAAAAUUUGAUUUCAGGGUUAAAACACAGGAGAUUUUGUUUUCUUGCCUAAAUUAGUGUAUAUAAUAAUGGUAGAAGCUGUUCUGCUCAUUUUCAAUGCAAUGCUUGUAUAAAUAAAAUCCUGGAUUUAUAUU